rnacentral:rRNA from 1 species
AUUGAACGAUGGCGGCAUGCUUUACACAUGCAAGUCGAACGGUAACAGGUUAAGCUGACGAGUGGCGAACGGGUGAGUAAUGCAUCGGAACGUGCCCGGUCGUGGGGGAUAACGCAGCGAAAGCUGCGCUAAUACCGCAUACGAUCUGAGGAUGAAAGCGGGGGACCGUAAGGCCUCGCGCGAUCGGAGCGGCCGAUGUCAGAUUAGGUAGUUGGUGGGGUAAAGGCUCACCAAGCCAACGAUCUGUAGCUGGUCUGAGAGGACGACCAGCCAAACUGGGACUGAGACACGGCCCAGACUCCUACGGGAGGCAGCAGUGGGGAAUUUUGGACAAUGGGCGAAAGCCUGAUCCAGCAAUGCCGCGUGCAGGAAGAAGGCCUUCGGGUUGUAAACUGCUUUUGUACGGAGCGAAAAGGUCUCCUCUAAUACAGGGGGCUCAUGACGGUACCGUAAGAAUAAGCACCGGCUAACUACGUGCCAGCCGCCGCAGUA